CCGCGCUCUGAUAGGCUCCACCUCCCCCGUGGGGGUCCUGGUAGUCAAGAUGCUCUGAGAGCGCACGGCCGCAAAACAAAAAUGGUGGCUGCUUAGCCCGCCCCCUGGCUGCCAGUCCGGAGUUGCAGAUUCGUCUUGGGGUUUUCUUCAGAAUGACUAGGAAAAAAGAUUGGUAGAGGAUCCGACGUCGCUCAAGAUUACUAUCAUGGCCGGGAGGUCCGCUCCAGGCCAAGUGGCUGUCUUGGACUUGAGCGUUUCGGAGUGUCAUGAUGAGGAACGUGGACCACAAGACCACAGAGUGUGCCAAAUGUUUCCCAGAAAACUCAAUGACAGAAUGGAGACAGGCAAUCAGAAGACUUGCAGUCAUGCUUGGCUUUCUGACAAAUGCAGCCGGCUGCUUCUCCGUCAAAUUUUGAGACAUUUGUUCCCUCAAACAGAAAACGGGAAGGAUUGUU